GGGUCCCACAAUAGGCCAUCUGCAAGCCGAGGAGCAAGGAAGCCAGUUGAAGUCCCAAAGCUGAAGAGCUUGGAGUCCAAUGUUUGAGGGCAUGGAGCAUCCAGCACUGGAGAAAGAGCUCCUGAAAUCGUUUGGGUAAGCAAUUGCUGAUUUUAAUUCCCUCACUUCACAAAAAGUGAAGUUUCUGAAAAGUAAUACAGCAGGCAAAGAAAAUCUGCAGGAGACAGCAGAAGAAAAAGCAAUUAUUCUGAAUAAUCUACACAUAAAUUGCUGUAACUUCUCACCUGGAUUCCAGAGCUCUCAUGAAGAAAUAUGAUUUUGUUUGAUAUUUACCACCCCUUUCAAUUCUGAGGAGCGAUUACUUCCAAAU